rnacentral:tmRNA from 1 species
GGGGGUGUCAUGGCUUCGACGGGGGAUGCGAAAUUGCCUGGUGCAUGCCGAGGGGGCCGCUUUCCUCGUAAAUCCAGCAGCAAACUUAUAGUUGCCAACGACGACAACUACGCUCUCGCCGCUUAAGGCGUAAGCCCUGAACCCACUUGUGUCCGUGCUCGUGGAUGUAGGGUCAUUAUCACGGAAUCGGCUGUGAUGGCUGCCUGUCAGUCACGGCUUCAAUCAAGCAGGCUGGUUCCGGGAUGCGCUUCGCGCACCGUGCUGUUCCGGAACGAGAUCCAACGGUGAGCUAAGCAUGUAGUGCCGGGGAUGGAGUGCCUUCGGACGCGGGUUCGACUCCCGCCACCUCCACCA